GUGUGUUAGUGGAAGCGUCUGGAAAGGCGCGCGAUACAGGGUGACAGCCCCGUACACAAAAAUGCACAUGCUGUGAGCUCGAUGAGUAGGGCGGGACACGUGGUAUCCUGUCUGAAUAUGGGGGGACCAUCCUCCAAGGCUAAAUACUCCUGACUGACCGAUAGUGAACCAGUACCGUGAGGGAAAGGCGAAAAGAACCCCGGCGAGGGGAGUGAAAAAGAACCUGAAACCGUGUACGUACAAGCAGUGGGAGCACGCUUAGGCGUGUGACUGCGUACCUUUUGUAUAAUGGGUCAGCGACUUAUAUUCUGUAGCAAGGUUAACCGAAUAGGGGAGCCGAAGGGAAACCGAGUCUUAACUGGGCGUUAAGUUGCAGGGUAUAGACCCGAAACCCGGUGAUCUAGCCAUGGGCAGGUUGAAGGUUGGGUAACACUAACUGGAGGACCGAACCGACUAAUGUUGAAAAAUUAGCGGAUGACUUGUGGCUGGGGGUGAAAGGCCAAUCAAACCGGGAGAUAGCUGGUUCUCCCCGAAAGCUAUUUAGGUAGCGCCUCGUGAAUUCAUCUCCGGGGGUAGAGCACUGUUUCGGCAAGGGGGUCAUCCCGACUUACCAACCCGAUGCAAACUGCGAAUACCGGAGAAUGUUAUCACGGGAGACACACGGCGGGUGCUAACGUCCGUCGUGAAGAGGGAAACAACCCAGACCGCCAGCUAAGGUCCCAAAGUCAUGGUUAAGUGGGAAACGAUGUGGGAAGGCCCAGACAGCCAGGAUGUUGGCUUAGAAGCAGCCAUCAUUUAAAGAAAGCGUAAUAGCUCACUGGUCGAGUCGGCCUGCGCGGAAGAUGUAACGGGGCUAAACCAUGCACCGAAGCUGCGGCAGCGACGCUGAUGCGUUGUUGGGUAGGGGAGCGUUCUGUAAGCCUGCGAAGGUGUGCUGUGAGGCAUGCUGGAGGUAUCAGAAGUGCGAAUGCUGACAUAAGUAACGAUAAAGCGGGUGAAAAGCCCGCUCGCCGGAAGACCAAGGGUUCCUGUCCAACGUUAAUCGGGGCAGGGUGAGUCGACCCCUAAGGCGAGGCCGAAAGGCGUAGUCGAUGGGAAACAGGUUAAUAUUCCUGUACUUGGUGUUACUGCGAAGGGGGGACGGAGAAGGCUAUGUUGGCCGGGCGACGGUUGUCCCGGUUUAAGCGUGUAGGCUGGUUUUCCAGGCAAAUCCGGAAAAUCAAGGCUGAGGCGUGAUGACGAGGCACUACGGUGCUGAAGCAACAAAUGCCCUGCUUCCAGGAAAAGCCUCUAAGCAUCAGGUAACAUCAAAUCGUACCCCAAACCGACACAGGUGGUCAGGUAGAGAAUACCAAGGCGCUUGAGAGAACUCGGGUGAAGGAACUAGGCAAAAUGGUGCCGUAACUUCGGGAGAAGGCACGCUGAUAUGUAGGUGAAGUCCCUCGCGGAUGGAGCUGAAAUCAGUCGAAGAUACCAGCUGGCUGCAACUGUUUAUUAAAAACACAGCACUGUGCAAACACGAAAGUGGACGUAUACGGUGUGACGCCUGCCCGGUGCCGGAAGGUUAAUUGAUGGGGUCAGCGCAAGCGAAGCUCUUGAUCGAAGCCCCGGUAAACGGCGGCCGUAACUAUAACGGUCCUAAGGUAGCGAAAUUCCUUGUCGGGUAAGUUCCGACCUGCACGAAUGGCGUAAUGAUGGCCAGGCUGUCUCCACCCGAGACUCAGUGAAAUUGAACUCGCUGUGAAGAUGCAGUGUACCCGCGGCAAGACGGAAAGACCCCGUGAACCUUUACUAUAGCUUGACACUGAACAUUGAGCCUUGAUGUGUAGGAUAGGUGGGAGGCUUUGAAGUGUGGACGCCAGUCUGCAUGGAGCCGACCUUGAAAUACCACCCUUUAAUGUUUGAUGUUCUAACGUUGACCCGUGAUCCGGGUUGCGGACAGUGUCUGGUGGGUAGUUUGACUGGGGCGGUCUCCUCCUAAAGAGUAACGGAGGAGCACGAAGGUUGGCUAAUCCUGGUCGGACAUCAGGAGGUUAGUGCAAUGGCAUAAGCCAGCUUGACUGCGAGCGUGACGGCGCGAGCAGGUGCGAAAGCAGGUCAUAGUGAUCCGGUGGUUCUGAAUGGAAGGGCCAUCGCUCAACGGAUAAAAGGUACUCCGGGGAUAACAGGCUGAUACCGCCCAAGAGUUCAUAUCGACGGCGGUGUUUGGCACCUCGAUGUCGGCUCAUCACAUCCUGGGGCUGAAGUAGGUCCCAAGGGUAUGGCUGUUCGCCAUUUAAAGUGGUACGCGAGCUGGGUUUAGAACGUCGUGAGACAGUUCGGUCCCUAUCUGCCGUGGGCGCUGGAGAACUGAGGGGGGCUGCUCCUAGUACGAGAGGACCGGAGUGGACGCAUCACUGGUGUUCGGGUUGUCAUGCCAAUGGCACUGCCCGGUAGCUAAAUGCGGAAGAGAUAAGUGCUGAAAGCAUCUAAGCACGAAACUUGCCCCGAGAUGAGUUCUCCCUGACUCCUUGA
rnacentral:rRNA from 1 species